GGGGUCGUGGCGUAACGGCAGCGUGUCGGUCUUUUAAACCGUAAGGUGAGGGUUCGACUCCCUCCGACCCUA
rnacentral:tRNA from 1 species